rnacentral:rRNA from 1 species
UACGUAGGGUGCAAGCGUUAUCCGGAAUUAUUGGGCGUAAAGAGCUUGUAGGCGGUUUGUCGCGUCUGCCGUGAAAAUUCGAGGCUCAACCUCGAACUUGCGGUGGGUACGGGCAGACUAGAGUGUGGUAGGGGAGACUGGAAUUCCUGGUGUAGCGGUGAAAUGCGCAGAUAUCAGGAGGAACACCGAUGGCGAAGGCAGGUCUCUGGGCCACUACUGACGCUGAGAAGCGAAAGCAUGGGGAGCGAACAGG